AACGGUAACAGCGAGGAAAGCUUGCUUUUUUCGGCUGACGAGUGGCGAACGGGUGAGUAAUACAUCGGAACGUGUCCGCUCGUGGGGGACAACCAUCCGAAAGGAUGGCUAAUACCGCAUGAGUUCUACGGAAGAAAGAGGGGGACCUGCUUGCAGGCCUCUCGCGAGCGGAGCAGCCGAUGACUGAUUAGCCGGUUGGUGAGGUAAGGGCUCACCAAAGCAACGAUCAGUAGCUGGUCUGAGAGGACGACCAGCCACACUGGGACUGAGACACGGCCCAGACUCCUACGGGAGGCAACAGUGGGGAAUUUUGGACAAUGGGCGCAAGCCUGAUCCAGCUAUUCCGCGUGUGGGAUGACGGCCCUCGGGUUGUAAACCACUUUAGUAGAGAACGAAAAGGAGCUAUCGAAUAAAUAGCUCUGCUGACGGUACUCUAAGAAUAAGCACCGGCUAACUACGUGCCAGCAGCCGCGGUAAUACGUAGGGUGCGAGCGUUAAUCGGAAUUACUGGGCCUUAAAGGGUGUGCAGGCGGCUGAAUAAGACAGAUGUGAAAUCCCCGGGCUUAACCGGGGAACCGCAUAUGUGACUGCUUGGCUAGAGUGCGUCAGAGGGAGGCGGAAUUCCACGUGUAGCAGUGAAAUGCGUCUUUUUGGGAAANNNCNCCNNNNNCNNNNNCNCCCUCCNNCCCNNCNNCNNNCNCUCCUCCCCNAAAGCGNGGGGCCCUUAAAGGAAAGGGUNCCNNNNUNNUCCNAACCNNNNGGGCCCUUAUUGUAAAGGGGGGGAUUAAAUUCCUCAGUAACGCAGCCAACGCGUGAAGUUGACCGCCUGGGAAGUACGGUCGCAAGACUAAAACUCAAAGGAAUUGACGGGGACCCGCACAAGCGGUGGAUGAUGUGGAUUAAUUCGAUGCAACGCGAAAAACCUUACCUACCCUUGACAUGUCAGAGAAGCUUUUGUAAUGAGAGUGUGCCCGCAAGGGCGUCUGAACACAGGUGCUGCAUGGCUGUCGUCAGCUCGUGUCGUGAGAUGUUGGGUUAAGUCCCGCAACGAGCGCAACCCUUGUCACUAGUUGCUACGAAAGGGCACUCUAGUGAGACUGCCGGUGACAAACCGGAGGAAGGUGGGGAUGACGUCAAGUCCUCAUGGCCCUUAUGGGUAGGGCUUCACACGUCAUACAAUGGUCGGAACAGAGGGCAGCCAACCCGUGAGGGGGAGCAAAUCCCAGAAAACCGAUCGUAGUCCGGAUUGCAGUCUGCAACUCGACUGCAUGAAGUCGGAAUCGCUAGUAAU
rnacentral:rRNA from 1 species